UUAUAGGAGGGUAUGUCUAAACUGACACACAAGUGUUGUUGUAGAAUGACAAAAUAUUAUGCAUAUUUAUCUCAUAUGAUGAGUGUCUGGUUCUUGAUAUUUGAGUUAAUCUGCAUUUAUAGGAGGGUAUGUCUAAACUGACACACAAGUGUUGUUGUAGAAUGACAAAAUAUUAUGCAUAUUUAUCUCAUAUGAUGAGUGUCUGGUUCUUGAUAUUUGAGUUAAUCUGCAUGUAUAGGAGGGUAUGUCUAAACUGGCACACAAUGGUAGCUGCUAAAUAAUAUACCUUUUAUGUUGUUUCUGUCUUAAUGGUAGAUGACGAAGAGCCUUCCCUUUGUUUCCUUGUUAAAUUGAUGGACGUUGAAGGAAAGAAGUUUGGUGGGGGUUCUUUCUGGAACAAUUAGGGCCAAGGGAGCUUGGUGGUGCUGUUGAUCUCAUAAAUCAGUAUAAGCUUUGGCCUCACCAUGAAUUAUUCUGCAAGAGGUCACUACCUUUGUCAAUAUCUGAGACUCACUAUCUCCAGAAUGUGGUGGGUGACACUCAAAUCAGGAAAGGAGACGGGAUGGAAUUGGAUCAGCUCUUUCAUAAUGCCUCCUAUUUGAGAGAGAGAAAUGCUUGCAUAAAUCCUUUUGAUUUAGGUGUGCUUGCGGAAGCCUUUCAUAUGAGAAAAACUACUCCUGUUGACCUGCCUUCUGCUGAGAGAGGGAUCCCUACUGCAAUAAUGAAGUCAAGGAGCAAAUUCACAAAAGACAAGGAAAUGACGCACAAAAAGCACAAGGACAAGGAUCAGAAUAAGCAUAAACAUUGCAAAGAGGAUGGAAGUAAUAAUAAGGAUAGAAAAAGAAGUGGAACGGUACCUGGUCUUGAGAACUUGAAGAAACAACAUGACAAGAGGAGACGAUGCAAUGGAUUGUAAAUGUCUUUCCUACAACCUCAACAUGAGAAAACCUGGUAAGCCAUGGUUGGACUCUAAAGCAUAACCAUAAGUACUAAAUGUUUUGAAUCACAUAAAUUCAUGUCAAUUAUUUGGCAAGCUCAUCACGCUUAUCUUUAGUUUUUCAUUUGGCUGAUUGCUUUUUCUUCCAAGUUGUGCCAACUUCAGAAAUCAAGAAUAUUGAAGUUUGGCAAGCAACGGGCUGAAAACAUCUGGGUUAGAAUGUUGAUUUUGUGCUCUCCACUAGAUGUGCAUUUUUCAUGGUUUAUUGAGUGUAAUCCUGUAGAUAGUAUAACUGGAGAUGUGGGCGGCUUCAAGGUCUUUUAUGAUGAUGGCUAUUGCCUAGAUCGGCAAUUGUAAAAUGGAAAACCAUGAAAUAAAAAAUUAAAAAAAAAAACUAUAUUUUGAUUGGGAACUUGGCUUCUUUUUUGUUUCAUAAAUUGAUUAUGUACUAAUCUCUAUAGGAUGGGCAUUGAUGGUCUCUAGCCAAAGAAUUCUCUUAAUUCUUUUCCCUGCCUUUGCUUGUGUCCUGUAAUCCUGUGUUUCCCUAAGAUUAUGGAUGCAUGGCUUUGAGAUUGGUCAUGCUUUGAUGUUUUAUCAGCAGUUUAACUUCAACUUCACUGGU
rnacentral:misc_RNA from 1 species